rnacentral:rRNA from 1 species
AGUGAACGCUGGCGGUAGGCCUAACACGUGCAAGUCGAACGGCAGCACAGUAAGAGCUUGCUCUUGCGGGUGGCGAGUGGCGGACGGGUGAGGAAUACAUCGGAAUCUACUUUUUCGUGGGGGAUAACGUAGGGAAACUUACGCUAAUACCGCAUACGACCUACGGGUGAAAGCAGGGGAUCUUCGGACCUUGCGCGAUUGAAUGAGCCGAUGUCGGAUUAGCUAGUUGGCGGGGUAAAGGCCCACCAAGGCGACGAUCCGUAGCUGGUCUGAGAGGAUGAUCAGCCACACUGGAACUGAGACACGGUCCAGACUCCUACGGGAGGCAGCAGUGGGGAAUAUUGGACAAUGGGCGCAAGCCUGAUCCAGCCAUACCGCGUGGGUGAAGAAGGCCUUCGGGUUGUAAAGCCCUUUUGUUGGGAAAGAAAAGCAGCAGGUUAAUACCCCGCUGUUCCGACGGUACCCAAAGAAUAAGCACCGGCUAACUUCGUG